rnacentral:lncRNA from 1 species
AGGCAGACGAUGACUGUUCAGACUUGAGAGGUAUUUCCUGAAGGAGAAUGAGAUAAACCUGUCACUUCAAGGAAAACACCCGACAGAUGUUGUUGCCGUUGCAGCUUCAGGUGGAAAACCAGUUUUAAAAUAUUUGUGGCUGUCCCAUGCUUAACAGCUUCCUGAGCCGUAAGACUUCUCUGUGAGAGCGGUGGGUACUAAUGAGUGUGACUUGACUUCUGGACAGUGAGGUUCGUCACUGUUAGAGUGUCUGCCUAACUCAGUUAGCCAGUAUUUUCCCAGGGACCAGUGCAAUACAUACACCGUCAAGUGUGGACAAGCAGUCCAUUCAGGCUAGACCAGUGCUGUAGGGGCUGUAGUGUGAGAAGCCCUUUGAUGCAGAUGACCUGCUGAACCUCUUUUGAUAGUCAUCUAGGAAUUCUGUGACGCUGCCCUCCUGCCUUUUCCCAGGUCCUUGUGAGUUUGUUCUUUUCUACAUCUUCAGUCAGAAGCAAGCAAAUGACUUCCUCUUGGCUUAUAUCAAGUCAAACAUUUCACUUUUGUAAAAUUAAAAAUGACAGCUGAGGACUGACUGGGGUGGUGUUCUGUAGUGAGAGUGCUUCCCUGGCAUCCACAGAGUGAGUUUGAUCCUCAGGUGCAGUUUCCGACUGUAAUGCCAGCACUUGGCAGAUUGGAAGCAGUGGGGUCAGAAGCACAGAGGUGUUCAGUUGACCACAGAACAGAGAAACAUAAGCCAGCAUAAUGGCACACACCUAUCUUCUCAGCAGUUGGGAGGUGUCCUAGUUAGAGUUUCUAUUGCUGUGAUGAAACACCAUGACCCAAGGCAAGUUGGGGAAGAAAAGGUUUAUUUGGCUUACACUUCCACAGCACUGUUCAUCAUUGAAAGAAGUCAGGACAGGAACUCCAACAGGGCAGGAAGCUGCAGGCAGAAGCUGAUGCAGAGGUCAGGGAGGAGUGCUGCUUACUGGUUUGCUCAUCAUGGCUUGCUCAGCCAGCUUUCUUAUAGAACCCAGGAUCACUAGCCCAGGGAUGGCAGCAUCCACAAUGAUUCUCCCCAAUUAACCACUAAUUAAGAAAAUGCCUACAGCUAGAUUUACCGAUGCAUUUUCCUGUUGAGUGCUCUCCUCAAGUUGAUAUAAACUAACUACCACAGGAGGCAAAGGAGAGGGCCAAGUUCAAAGCUGUGUUGUAUUUCACAGCAAGACCCUGUCUCAGGAAAAGAGAAAAAAAAUUAGCUAGGCCAUUUAGAUUUUAUAUUAAAUAUUAUAACAGUUGCUGCUUCA